CUACGGGAGGCAGCAGUGGGGAAUAUUGGACAAUGGGCGAAAGCCUGAUCCAGCCAUGCCGCGUGUGUGAAGAAGGCCUUCGGGUUGUAAAGCACUUUAAGCGGGGAGGAAGGGCUUCUGGCUAAUAUCCAGGAGCAUUGACGUUACCCGCAGAAUAAGCACCGGCUAACUCUGUGCCAGCAGCCGCGGUAAUACAGAGGGUGCAAGCGUUAAUCGGAAUUACUGGGCGUAAAGCGCGCGUAGGCGGUUUGUUAAGUCGGAUGUGAAAUCCCCGGGCUCAACCUGGGCAUUGCAUCCGAUACUGGCUGACUAGAGUGUGGGAGAGGAAGGUAGAAUUCCAGGUGUAGCGGUGAAAUGCGUAGAGAUCUGGAGGAAUACCGAUGGCGAAGGCAGCCUUCUGGCCUGACACUGACGCUGAGGUGCGAAAGCAUGGGGAGCAAACAGGAUUAGAAACCCGGGUAGUCC
rnacentral:rRNA from 1 species